rnacentral:lncRNA from 1 species
AUGGAGUCGGUCAGGCUCACAGCUGAGAUGGGGUCGGUCAGGCUCACGGCUGAGAUGGGGUCGGUCAGGCUCACAGCUGAGACGGGGUCGGUGGUCAGGCUCACGGCUGAGAUGGGGUCGGUCAGGCUCACAGCUGAGACGGGGUCGGUGGUCAGGCUCACGGCUGAGAUGGGGUCGGUCAGGCUCACAGCUGAGACGGGGUCGGUGGUCAGGCUCACGGCUGAGACGGGGCCGGUCGGGCUCACGGCUGAGACGGGGUCGGUGGUCAGGCUCACGGCUGAGACGGGGUCGGUCGGGCUCACAGCUGAGACGGGGUCGGUGGUCAGGCUCACGGCUGAGACGGGGUCGGUGGUCAGGCUCACGGCUGAGACGGGGUCGGUGGUCAGGCUCACAGCUGAGACGGGGCCGGUCAGGCUCACGGCUGAGAUGGGGUCGGUCAGGCUCACAGCUGAGACGGGGUCGGUGGUCAGGCUCACGGCUGAGACGGGGUCGGUGGUCAGGCUCACGGCUGAGACGGGGUCGGUGGUCAGGCUCACAGCUGAGACGGGGUCGGUGGUCAGGCUCACGGCUGAGAUGGGGUCGGUCAGGCUCACGGCUGAGACGGGGUCGGUGGUCAGGCUCACGGCUGAGACGGGGUCGGUGGUCAGGCUCACGGCUGAGACGGGGCCGGUCGGGCUCACAGCUGAGAUGGGGUCGGUGGUCAGGCUCACGGCUGAGACGGGGUCGGUGGUCAGGCUCACGGCUGAGACGGGGUCGGUGGUCAGGCUCACGGCUGAGACGGGGUCGGUGGUCAGGCUCACGGCUGAGACGGGGUCGGUGGUCAGGCUCACGGCUGAGACGGGGUCGGUGGUCAGGCUCACGGCUGAGACGGGGUCGGUGGUCAGGCUCACGGCUGAGACGGGGCCGGUCGGGCUCACGGCUGAGAUGGGGUCGGUGGUCAGGCUCACGGCUGAGACGGGGUCGGUGGUCAGGCUCACGGCUGAGACGGGGUCGGUGGUCAGGCUCACGGCUGAGAUGGGGUCGGUCAGGCUCACAGCUGAGACGGGGUCGGUGGUCAGGCUCACGGCUGAGACGGGGUCGGUGGUCAGGCUCACAGCUGAGACGGGGUCGGUGGUCAGGCUCACGGCUGAGAUGGGGUCGGUCAGGCUCACGGCUGAGACGGGGUCGGUGGUCAGGCUCACGGCUGAGACGGGGUCGGUGGUCAGGCUCACGGCUGAGACGGGGUCGGUGGUCAGGCUCACGGCUGAGACGGGGCCGGUCGGGCUCACGGCUGAGACGGGGCCGGUCAGGCUCACGGCUGAGACGGGGUCGGUGGUCAGGCUCACGGCUGAGACGGGGUCGGUCAGGCUCACGGCUGAGACGGGGCCGGUCGGGCUAGCACAAGUUAGGUUGUUACAUUCCCCUCUUGUGUUUUGGAAAGUCAAAGCAUUAUUGAUCUUCAGUUAUAACAAGAGGGUUUUAUUGGGCCUUGAGACACAAAUGUCUGACACACUACGUGCUGUUGUAGGAAAUUCAGGAACCAGUUGA